UGAGAGCUUGCUCUCAAGAAGUUAGCGGCGGACGGGUGAGUAACACGUGGGUAACCUGCCCAUAAGACUGGGAUAACUCCGGGAAACCGGGGCUAAUACCGGAUAACAUUUUGAACUGCAUGGUUCGAAAUUGAAAGGCGGCUUCGGCUGUCACUUAUGGAUGGACCCGCGUCGCAUUAGCUAGUUGGUGAGGUAACGGCUCACCAAGGCAACGAUGCGUAGCCGACCUGAGAGGGUGAUCGGCCACACUGGGACUGAGACACGGCCCAGACUCCUACGGGAGGCAGCAGUAGGGAAUCUUCCGCAAUGGACGAAAGUCUGACGGAGCAACGCCGCGUGAGUGAUGAAGGCUUUCGGGUCGUAAAACUCUGUUGUUAGGGAAGAACAAGUGCUAGUUGAAUAAGCUGGCACCUUGACGGUACCUAACCAGAAAGCCACGGCUAACUACGUGCCAGCAGCCGCGGUAAUACGUAGGUGGCAAGCGUUAUCCGGAAUUAUUGGGCGUAAAGCGCGCGCAGGUGGUUUCUUAAGUCUGAUGUGAAAGCCCACGGCUCAACCGUGGAGGGUCAUUGGAAACUGGGAGACUUGAGUGCAGAAGAGGAAAGUGGAAUUCCAUGUGUAGCGGUGAAAUGCGUAGAGAUAUGGAGGAACACCAGUGGCGAAGGCGACUUUCUGGUCUGUAACUGACACUGAGGCGCGAAAGCGUGGGGA
rnacentral:rRNA from 1 species